AGCAGGUGUGCAAACUUUAAAGAAUUUACUUGACAAAGACUUUGUUGCUAUCUUCGCAGCUGCCUCGUUGGAUACUGCCCGACUUCAUUAAACACAUUAAAAGAGAUGAAGAAGAAAAGAAGUGCUAAAAGAUAACCUUGCUCUCAGAUUUAGCUGGCUUUCAGAUUAUGGAGCGCCUGGGAAAUGAAAUGCUGAACCCGUCCACCCAUUGAGGCCUUGUUAUCAAAAGCACAUCCUGGUAUACAGAAAGGGACAAUGAACAGAAGAGUUAACUGUCUGCCUCAUCAAGCAGCAGGCCUUCAAAUGAGCGCUUCAACCAGGCCUCAUUUCUCAAACAACCUCCCUCUUCUCCCUCGGAGAGCUAGCUCCCGCGGACACAAGCUGGGCUCCCACACAGCAUACCAGAGCGUGCCACAUGUUCAGUGGAGCACCAAGCCUCCGCCUGUCCCUCAUGAAAUAUUCAUCACCCAGUGCAGACGGAAAAGCUGUGAUGUCAGAGAUUCCAGUUUCAGUGUCCAGUUUCUGUGCUGCAACAGUGACACAGCAGCUGAGUGAGAGACUAUUUCUCUGAGGAUUCCUGACACUCACCUGCCGGCUGUCGCGCUGGGAAGAGGAAGAGGAGGAGGCGCUCUUGUGAACCGGCGUGGAGGUCUUGUUGACUGGCGUGCCGCUCCUCUCCUCGGUGCUCAGGGUGCGGCCGUGGGGGCCUCGCUGGUAGUGUUGGUGGUGAGACAUGGUGGGCAACGGUUGGCUCCGUGGACCUCCCUCAGCGCUGGGCCCCGCAGAUCAGGAGCAUCCUCUGAGUCUCUCACACUCACUGCUUGUUGUUCAUCUGAAAAACAAAAGUGAUGGAUGAGCCUGUUUUGAUGCGUCUGCUUUUGCUCUGCUGCAAGCAAAUUUUCCCCACUGGGGCAAUGAAGACAGGAAAGGACUCCAUGGGGAGCUGUUUUCAGUCAGUGUUGUAUUUAUGCAAAAGGAAUAUGAAAUAUACCGGAAAUCUCAACACUCAAAUUCCCAUCCAGAGAAUAGAGUAUCUUAAUUAUUUAAACAAUUCCAUUUAUCGUUCAAAUUAUUUUAGUUCAAAUAAAACAAAACUGAACGC